CAAGAGGUGGCAGAGCAGCUGGAGUGCAGGGGAGCUGCCCCACAGAGCGUCCACAAGAGGAGAGGGGCGCAGACGCGCGGGAGAGGCAGGAGCUGGGCAAGUAGAGGUGAUCAAAGCAGAAAGGGGAAAAAGAAAAGACAAAAAGCCUGGGAAAAGGUAAGGAUGCAGAUUUGCCCAGGGACUUGACUGAGCCCUAGUUACCCCUAGCCUCAGGUCCCUGAAGGACACAAGGAGAAAAACAAAACCACAAAACUUCAGUAAGAGUAAUGGCAUUUUAUCAUGUCAGUGCCCACCCUUCACGGCGAUGCCUCUCACACACAGGCCCGGAAGAGGUCUGGUUGGUGCUGGAAACUCACAGGUGGGUCCGGACGCUCCUGAGAAAGAGCCCAGGGCAGAGUUCACAGAGUUCACACCUGUGUGUCAGCCCUUGAGGUCCACGGCACCAGGCUGGCACUGGGGUCUACUGGUGGUCCUCUGCCUGAGGCACCUUCCACACUGUGGACAGGAAUAAGACAGCUCACCUGUGUGAGUCAGCAGGUAGCAUGAGAGGUACUAGCUGUGGCAGAAACAGGUGCCACACUAGGCACGGACAAAGGCUUGUCUCCAGAAUGCACUGAGUCAGGUGAAAGGUCAUGGCAGAGUGUGCCUGCUCUCGGGCAGGUGCUGUGUGAGUACAAGUCAGUGAGGCUGGGUCUACAGUUGGGGCUUGGGAAAGGCCUGUCCACCUGGAUGCUUUGACCCCAGGCUCAGACACUAAGCUAGUGUCCCUGGAGGCUCACGACAACUCCCCAAUAGACUCCUUCUGCUGGUUUCUUCCAAAUACAUCACUUUUUCUGAGUGGCCCUUUGAAACACAGGAGAUUCAAAAUUUAAUUUUGGUCCAGUUCAGUCAAAUUCAACUAAAUGUUCAGGUGACAGAAUCAACUUUCACAAGUGCAGAUGGGUGCUUAGCCCCUGGAAGCACCCACCUAGAUUAUGUUGACCAAUUGAGGGGGUCACAGGAAGUCAAGGACAUUCCCACUUCAGGACCAACCCAAAGAGAUACCCUCAACCAGAGGAACAGCUGUUACAAUGCACAGCCACUUAGAGACAGAAAGGUGAACUGCUUCCAAAGUAAACUUUAAUUCAUACACUGCCACUGACCUAGAGAUUGGAUAAUCUGUGUAGUGUGACCUGACCUUGGGAAUCCUGGAUGCCUCAGUCAAUUAGUGAAAAGGAGAAGGCCAAGAUUCUAGUCUCCAGUGGGUAUCAUAAAUUCAAGGCAGCAGAACACAGUAAGGGACAUACAGAUGGUCUUUCUUUUUCUUUUGUUCUUUUCUCUCUCUUUUUUAAAGAUUUUACUUAUUUAUUUGACAGACAGAGAUCACAAGUAGGCAGAGAUGCAGGCAGAGAGAGGAAGGGAAGCAGGCACCCUGCAGAGCAGAGAGAUGUGGGGCUUGAUCCCAGGACCCUGAGAUCAUGAAUGAGCCGAAGGCAGAGGUUUUAGCCCACUGAACCACCCAGGUGCCUCUCUCUUUCUUUCUUAAGAUUUUAUUUGUUUAUGUGAGAGAGAGAGAGAGAGAGAGAGAGCGCAUGAGCGGAGGGUGAGGGGAGAAGCAGAUGGAGAGAGAGAACCAGACUCUCCCCCACUCUAAGCAGGGAGCCCAAUGCGGGGCUCAAUCCCAG